CGAACGUGUGCAACCUGCCUUUAUCUGGGAGAUAGCCUUUCGAAAGGAAGAUUAAUUUCCCAUAAUAUAAUGAUUGGCAUCAAUUAUUAUUGAAAGCUCCGGCGGAUAGAGAUGGGCACGCGCAAGAUUAGAUAGUUGGUGAGGUAACGGCUCACCAAGUCGAUGAUCUUUAGGGGGCCUGAGAGGGUGAUCCCCCACACUGGUACUGAGACACGGACCAG
rnacentral:rRNA from 1 species